rnacentral:lncRNA from 1 species
GGUUAGGGGAUGUUUGUACUUUACUUAUUCGGUAUCCUCAGGGCCCAGCUAGGUUCCUGGUGCAUAGCUGGUGCUCUGUAAAUACGGGUUGAAUGAGUGAACGAAUAAGGUCUCUGCGCUGAGAAUCUCAUGAGGCACUGGGACACAGCCAAAUCAUCAACAAGUUCGUGAAUAGCGUGAUCAACACGCUGAAAAGCACUGUAUCCUCCCUGCUGCAGAAGGAGAUAUGUCCACUGAUCCGCAUCUUCAUCCACUCCCUGGAUGUGAAUGUCAUUCAGCAGGUCGUCGAUAAUCCUCAGCACAAAACCCAGCUGCAAACCCUCAUCUGAAGAGGACGAAUGAGGAGGACCACUGUGGUGCAUGCUGAUUGGUUCCCAGUGGCUUGCCCCACCCCCUUAUAGCAUCUCCCUCCAGGAAGCUGCUGCCACCACCUAACCAGCGUGAAAGCCUGAGUCCCACCAGAAGGACCUUCCCAGAUACCCCUUCUCCUCACAGUCAGAACAGCAGCCUCUACACAUGUUGUCCUGCCCCUGGCAAUAAAGGCCCAUUUCUG